rnacentral:rRNA from 1 species
UGGGGAAUUUUGGACAAUGGGCGAAAGCCUGAUCCAGCAAUGCCGCGUGUGUGAAGAAGGCCUUCGGGUUGUAAAGCACUUUUGUCCGGAAAGAAAUCCUCUGGGUUAAUACCUCGGGGGGAUGACGGUACCGGAAGAAUAAGCACCGGCUAACUACGUGCCAGCAGCCGCGGUAAUACGUAGGGUGCAAGCGUUAAUCGGAAUUACUGGGCGUAAAGCGUGCGCAGGCGGUUUUGUAAGACGGAUGUGAAAUCCCCGGGGCUUAACCUGGGAACUGCAUUCGUGACUGCAAGGCUAGAGUAUGGCAGAGGGGGGUUAGAAUUCCACGUGUAGCAGUGAAAUGCGUAGAGAUGUGGAGGAAUACCGAUGGCGAAGGCAGCCCCCUGGGCCAAUACUGACGCUCAUGCACGAAAGCGUGGGGAGCAAACAGGAUUCAGAUACCCUGGUAGUCCACGCCCUAAACGAUGUCAACUAGUUGUUGGGGAUUCAUUUCCUUAGUAACGUAGCUAACGCGUGAAGUUGACCGCCUGGGGAGUACGGUCG